UACGAAGGGGACUAGCGUUGUUCGGAAUCACUGGGCGUAAAGCGCACGUAGGCGGAUUCGUAAGUCAGGGGUGAAAUCCCGGGGCUCAACCUCGGAACUGCCUUUGAUACUGCGGGUCUUGAGUCCGAUAGAGGUGGGUGGAAUUCCUAGUGUAGAGGUGAAAUUCGUAGAUAUUAGGAAGAACACCGGUGGCGAAGGCGGCCCACUGGAUCGGUACUGACGGUGAGGUGCGAAAGCGUGGGGAGCAAACAGG
rnacentral:rRNA from 1 species